GUCCCUGUUGCGCAACGGAUGGUGCGUUGGACUUCUAAUCCAAAGGCCGUGGGUUCGAAUGCUACCUGAGAUG